GGGUAUGUAGCUCAGUGGGAGAGUGCUUGCUUGCUUUGCAUGUAAGAGGCCCUGGGUUCAACCCCUAGUAUCUCCA
rnacentral:tRNA from 1 species